rnacentral:rRNA from 1 species
AGUGAACGCUGGCGGUAGGCCUAACACAUGCAAGUCGAACGGCAGCACAGGAGAGCUUGCUCUCUGGGUGGCGAGUGGCGGACGGGUGAGGAACACAUCGGAAUCUCCUCUGUCGUGGGGGAUAACGUAGGGAAACUUACGCUAAUACCGCAUACGACCUACGGGUGAAAGCAGGGGACCUUCGGGCCUUGCGCGAUUGCAUGAGCCGAUGUCGGAUUAGCUAGUUGGCGGGGUAAAGGCCCACCAAGGCGACGAUCCUUAGCUGGUCUGAGAGGAUGAUCCGCCACACUGGAGCUGAGAGACGGUCCAUACUCCUACGGGAGGCAGCAGUGGGGAAUAUUGGGCAAUGGACGCAAGCCUGUUCCAGCAAUACCGCGUGGAUGAAGAAGGCCUUCGGGUUGUAAAGCCCUUUUGUUGGGAAAGAAAUCCAGCUGGCUAAUACCCGGUUUGGAUGACGGUACCCAAAGAAUAAGCACCGGCUAACUGCGUGCCAGCCGCCGCAGUAA